AGCAGACAGAUGCUGUGUCAGGCGGCAGGACCUCAUUUGGGGCGAUGAAGGGGCAGAGAGCUAACGUAGGGACCUCAGCGUGACUGUGCCUUGCUCUGAGACACACUGAACUCCUGGGCCAUGGGCUUGAAACCAACAUGCAGAAAACCCACCAAGGCUAACUUAGAAAGAGCACUGGGUCUGACAUAAGAAGAAAUGAUGGAUAACAACAUUGGGCACCGAAACAAUCAGCACCAGAAUACGCUGAGCCUCGGAACCUCAUCAAAUGCAGGACCCAGUGUAGGAGCCCACAGGUAGCGUUCCCCAUCAGACACGUAUUUCUACUGAUCAUCAGGAUGCAUAGCAAGGCUUUCGAUUUACGAGCUAUAUCAGAUGGAAUUGCUAAGUCAAACUAACUAAAUAAAUAGCAACAUCUGGUGAAUGCCAUACGGCUUAUCUUAAAUCAUUAUCUAACAGAAAUUAUAUAAUUAUUGUACAAGACAUUCAUGGAAAAUUUGCAAUCUGUAUCACUGUCAAUGAAAAAUGUUAAAGGUGUGUGUAUAUGUGUGUGCAACUGUGCAUGUAUGUAUGGAAAUCUAGAAUUGAUAAUAUUCAGAUAAGACAUAUUUGCCAUUUCAGUGGAUACUAAAAAUGCAUUUCACAUGAAGGAUUAAUUUCAAUUUAGUCAAUGUCAUUUUUUAACUAAUUCAAUUUAAAUAUGACAGAGAUUUUUUGUCAUAUAUUAUGAGUGAAUAUUUAAAAUAUUAAAUUCCAUUUUAAAUUCAGAUUUACAAUUAUCAAUUUUAUUUGCACAUUGUCACAUUUAGCAUUCCAUGUACAGUAUGGGUAUAUAUGUAUGCUGUGCAUACCUAUGUGUGCAUUUAUAUAUGUUUUUUGUUUAGUAUCUAUAUGUGUGGGCAGUAUGUAUGUAUGUAUGUAUAAUACAUAGUGUAUUACCUAUGUGUGUGUGUUUGAUAAGUAUGCUGUGCCUGUGUGCUUUGUGUGUAUUGUCUACUGAUCCUAACCUGUACAAAUGGAGGAGACAUAUCAAUGUGGACUCCCACCCUGAGCCUGUGUUGACACUAAUGAAACACAUAUACACUGUUUCUAUGGUCUGUCUCUAGCUGCUGGACUCCUGUCCCGAUGCUAGGGCUCCAUCACCAAGUGAGGCGAUCAUUACAUACCAAGUUAUUACCACCACCACCACUUUACUCUGCAGGUGUGGGGAAUCUGUCAUAUUCCUGCCAGCCAAUGAUAUCAGCCAUUAUCCACAAGAACAGUGCCCAGCCAUUAGCUUCCCUCACUCAUUUCACAGUGCAGAAAGAGUUCAGUGCUCCUGGGCCAACCUUAACAGAGCAAAGUACACUGCUAACCACUGAAUCACUGGAAUGUUCUCAAACAGCACUGCAGGUCUCCUAUCGCCCGUUUGUCAUUUACAGAAGAAUCACAUGCCAUAGAGUCAGGCAUUACAAAACUGGGACCUCAGGACCACCGGGCGUCUGAGAAGGAUAUUUGCACCGCAUUUGUCUACUUAGGCCUAUAUUCCCACUGUACUUCAUACCUGUUUAUUCUGUAGGAAUAAUUACAUGUUUAUUCACUUUAUUGGACACCACUAUGUAGUGUGGUGAGCACCACAAUGGUUUUAUUCACAAUGCACCAACACCAGAUUAGGAAUAAGUCAGUCAGACCCCAUUUUCUCAUCCAAAUGCUUGUGAUGUUUAUUUAUAUAAUAUCCUUAUAAGUUUUUUUUAAAUGUGCGUUAUUGAAAGGGAAGCCAGUCCCUCUGGCAGCUCUUCAUUCUCACGGCAUGCCAUCUCUACUCAUACAGCACAGAAUCAGCCAAGACAAACAAGUCCAGUCAAAUAAGCCGUUCAUCUAUUUAAGGCGAUGCCAUACUGUUUCUCCAGGACAGGAACUGACAUACAUUUUCAUCAUGCAUCAUCUUUUUUCACAGCAUUGUGUGUCUCAGAGUCUCUUUACAUGACUUCUUGUCAUCAUUAUAUGUACAAAAUAGCAAGGGCCAACUUUUGUUGGGGACCAAACACAGACAAAGAGCACCAUUUUUUUAACAUGGAAAUACUAGGCUUUGAUUUGGAUUAUGUCAUGCUGCGAAAAAAAAUGAAU